GCAAGCAGUGGUAGUGUCCAAUUAGGCCACCUCUCCUAUAAAGCUGCUCCUGCUCCAAGCACCAACCCUUUAAGCCAGCAGACUUCCUCAAUCUCUCCUGGGUGUGGCAUCCAACACUGGUGGGUAUGGCUCUCCUGCCUGGCUCCUGCAAUCAGGUUUUCCACACACCUGCAUCUUGUUCCAGGUUGCGCAUAAGAGGAUAAAAAGGAAGCCAGGGUAUCAACCGGAUCACCUGCUCCAUUAGGACAAGUCAUCAGAUUCAUUCAGACUUGUGUGCAGAGGCGUGAAAACAUGAAGAUUGUGAUUCUUGCCGUUUGUAUUGUUGGCUGUCAGCCAGACCUUGAAGUGUUACUGUGGAGGCUUACAGGAGUGUACAAAGUGGCAACCUGCCCACUCUACUAUUUAUGUGCCCCCAGCUCCAAGGGUUGCAUGAAAACAAUUGACUGUGUGAAAUGAGAACUUAUUGCUGUGGCAGUGAUCUGUGCAACAAAUAAAUAUCAUGACUUACUAACGCAUCCCCUGAUGGAUGAAUGAAUAUCUUUCAUGUAGUAAUAAAGAGCAAUGUGUUUCAAAUGUUACUGUUAAUUUGUAUGACUCUUCAGUUAUGUAGUGCCAAUUCACUUCUCAUCGCACUCCUCAUAUAGCGCACAGGCCUGUACUAAGCAGGAUUUGAGCUUAUCCAGCAACUUCGGGGUUUACCCUGGGGUUUCAGUAUCACGACGGUGGUCCGCCUCUUACUGGGGUAGAUUGCCAUGGUCAGGGCUGGACUGGGACAAAUUGGCCUGGUUGGACAUCCCUCACAAAUACACCAUCCUUGCUUUUAAGGGCUUAGAUCAGGGGUUUGACAAAACUUGGCCCAUGAGACUUGACACUGCACAAAUAGUGGGGCCGUGACGAGAACAUUUUAAUAGGCUUAGUGGGGGGGGGGUAAUUGACCAAAUAGUUAGGGGUCCCCCCCAGAAGACUUAAAACACUAAAUUUCCUGCAUUCUGGUGAAUUUUUUCUGCACCAAUUCAUCAAGGAAAUGUCCUUUAUAUAAAAGGAAACUACAAUUCAAAAUAUAGUGCU